GUGGACACGGCGUCUUAGGAUUAUUAAUUUUUUGUGUUUAUAAUCGCGAAAAUAGGCGAUUUCGUUUUGUUUUUGCGACGCUCGCCACCUCUUGUCAGUUGCUUUAGAUGUGGAACAGCAGUUGGUUGUGGUCAAGUAGGUAAGUGCAUUUGAUUGUUUUGUUUAGUUUGUUUAUGGUUAAUUGUUUUAUUUUUAGGUUUUAGCGUCAGCUCUUGUAGGCGCUCUCGAUCUGGAUUUUGAAAGUAGCAGGAAGGAUGGAUUUUGCAGCUCCGCGCUGGGUGCCCUGGUCGAAGCGUAGGCAGCUUUUGUGGCCCGUCUUUUGCAGCGCUGCAUUGCAGGUAGAUUGCAUCGGUGAUGAGGGAUACUGUCAGGGACCGUGUGGCGAGAAAGUUCAGGAUCAGCUGGAGUGCGUUUUCUUGGGCUUGUUCAUCCGGGUGCGUUGAGGAAAAUUAAGCUGAGUCGAGGAAGGUGGUGACCGUGCACGAGUUUGGGAGCUGACUGGAGUGCGCUUUUCCAUCGGAUAUAGAUAUCGUUAAUAUAUUUAUAAAUAGAUGUAGAUUUAAUUGGAUGUGUCCAUGUC